CAUAUCAUAAGCGGAGGAAAAGAAACCAACAGGGAUUGCCCCAGUAACGGCGAGUGAAGCGGCAACAGCUCAAAUUUGAAAUCUGGCUCUCGGGCCCGAGUUGUAAUUUGUAGAGGAUGCUUUUGGUGAGGUGCCUUCCGAGUUCCCUGGAACGGGACGCCAUAGAGGGUGAGAGCCCCGUCUGGUUGGACGCCGAACCUCUGUAAAGCUCCUUCGACGAGUCGAGUAGUUUGGGAAUGCUGCUCUAAAUGGGAGGUAUAUGUCUUCUAAAGCUAAAUACCGGCCAGAGACCGAUAGCGCACAAGUAGAGUGAUCGAAAGAUGAAAAGAACUUUGAAAAGAGAGUUAAACAGUACGUGAAAUUGUUGAAAGGGAAGCGCUUGUGACCAGACUUGGGCUUGGUUGAUCAUCCGGGGUUCUCCCCGGUGCACUCUUCCGGCCCAGGCCAGCAUCAGUUCGCCCUGGGGGACAAAGGCAUCGGGAACGUGGCUCUCUCCGGGGAGUGUUAUAGCCCGUUGCGUAAUACCCUGCGGCGGACUGAGGUUCGCGCAUUCGCAAGGAUGCUGGCGUAAUGGUCAUCAGUGACCCGUCUUGAAACACGGACCAAGGAGUCGUCUUCGUAUGCGAGUGUUCGGGUGUCAAACCCCUACGCGAAAUGAAAGUGAACGCAGGUGAGAGCUUCGGCGCAUCAUCGACCGAUCCUGAUGUUAUCGGAUGGAUUUGAGUAAGAGCAUACGGGGCCGGACCCGAAAGAAGGUGAACUAUGCCUGUGUAGGGUGAAGCCAGAGGAAACUCUGGUGGAGGCUCGCAGCGGUUCUGACGUGCAAAUCGAUCGUCAAACAUGGGCAUGGGGCGAAAGACUAAUCGA
rnacentral:rRNA from 1 species